rnacentral:rRNA from 1 species
AUUGAACGCUGGCGGCGUGCUUAACACAUGCAAGUCGAACGGAAAGGCCUUGUGCUUGCACAGGGUACUCGAGUGGCGAACGGGUGAGUAACACGUGGGUGAUCUGCCCUGCACUGUGGGAUAAGCCCGGGAAACUGGGUCUAAUACCAUAUAGGACCACUUCUUGGAUGUUGUGGUGGAAAGCUUUUGCGGUGUGGGAUGAGCCUGCGGCCUAUCAGCUUGUUGGUGGGGGAAUGGCCUACCAAGGCGGCGACGGGUAUCCGGCCUGAGAGGGUGUACGGACACAUUGGGACUGGGAUACGGACCAGACUCCUACGGGAGGCAGCAGUGGGGAAUAUUGCACAAUGGGCGCAAGCCUGAUGCAGCGACGCCGCGUGGGGGAUGACGGCCUUCGGGUUGUAAACUCCUUUCGCUAUCGACGAAGCUACCUUGGGUGGUGACGGUAGGUAGAUAAGAAGCACCGGCUAACUACGUGCCAGCAGCCGCGGUAAAAC